rnacentral:rRNA from 1 species
GGGUUCCUACAUUCGAAGGGCAGGCUCCGGACGGUCUACCGCCUGAGUACGGAGCCUCGAAUGCUUCUCUAAUACAGGGGGAGAAUGACGGUACCGUAAGAAUAAGCACCGGCUAACUACGUGCCAGUAGCCGCGGUAAUACGUAGGGUGCGAGCGUUAAUCGGAAUUACUGGGCGUAAAGCGUGCGCAGGCGGUUAUAUAAAACAGAUGUGAAAUCCCCGGGCUCAACCUGGGAACUGUAUUAGUGACUGUAUAGCUACAGUGCGGAAGAGGGGGAUGGAAUUCCGCGUGUAUCAGUGAAAUGCGUAAAUAUGCGGAGGAACACCGAUGGCUAAGGCAAUCCCCUGGGCCUGUACUGACGCUCAUGCACGAAAGCGUGGGGAGCAAACAGGAUUACAUACCCUGGUAGUCCACGCCCUAAAAGAUAUCAACUGGUUGUUGGGUCUUCACUGACUCAAUAACCAAACUAACGCGUGAAGUUGACCGCCUGGGGAGUACGGCCGCAACGUUAAAACUCAAA